rnacentral:lncRNA from 1 species
CCUAGUAUAAAUAGGGGUGGAGUGGGUUGGAGAAAGGGGACACCAAUGUUGGAUGCAUUCUCCAUACACCACACGAAGCAUUCAACGCAUGAAGGUACUUUGGUAAUAAAAGUGGUGGAGUAAUAUUUCUCCAAAGGUUCUCAAGGUUUUACUCUUAUCUCCUGAGUCUAAGAAUAAGAGUGGUGAUGAUCUUAUCCUCAAGAGAGAUUUCGUGUAACCCAAGGCUUAUAAGGGUUGAGAUACUCUUUUCGGAAAGUGGUAUCCACGAUUCCGUCACGAUCCAAGAUCCCCCUAAGUUCUCUGGAACAUUGUUGUGCACGAAGUUCUCAACUUGGGUAUUAUAAAGAAAUGAUUCCUAAGGUUGUAGGGAUUUAAGUAGUCCUUUUGACUCCCCUACUUCCUGGGAACACAAAUGAUUUUGUGUUCAUAAGGUUGUAGAGAUUUAAGUAGUCCUUGUGACUCCCCUACUUUCUGAUAACACAAAACGAUUUUGUGUUCUGUCAACAAGGUUUCGUUUCUAGGAAAUGAAUCACCUUUCCAAUACCCAUACGCCUCCCCUCAGCCUGCAUACAUACUUCAAACUGAGCCAUUUAUGUACCAACUUCCUCUUCUAUUUCCUCUUCUACUUUUUCUUCAUCCUCCACUUUCCCUUCUAAAGUUGUUAAGUUGUGUCUUACCACAAAUGUGUCCAUAGAAAUAUCUAUCUCCAUAUUUGUAGCACAAUCCUUUGUUUUCUCUUGGAAGGUUUCCAGCAGUUUUGUUCACUAGUGAAGUUUUCACCUGAGUUCCACUUGGAUGUGGUAUGAAACUUCUUCCUUCUUGCCUUAAUGGAAGCCUCUUGCAUCCUUGCUUGAAGAAAUACAUCCGUGAGGUCUGCUCGAAUAAGCAAAACAAGCUGCACUUCUUCAUCCAAACCACUAAUAAAACUUUACACAAGAUACGGUUAUAUUACUGUAGGGUUUAGCUUGAGUACUCUGGAUGUUAAAUCCUCAAAUUUUUCUGGUAUUCCAGUACUUAACCAGUUUGUUUCAAUUUGUUGAAACUUCCCACCACAUUAAUACAAGAGGGGUCACCAAACUUCUUUAACAACUCAUCUACUAGCACUUCCCACUGCAGAUUUGGACAUUCUACUGACCAUCCUUGGUACCAGAUACCUGCUCUACCCUCUAGGAACAGAGCUGCUAUCUCUACCUAUUGGUUAGGAGGGAUUUAAUGAAUUGUGAAGAGUUUAGUGCACUUUCUUACCCAGGAAGCAGGAUCGGUGCUUGAGCUUUGGCAAGUGUGCUGCUAGUUGGUCUGGUCGGAGUAGAACUCCUCGAUGUUCUUGAUCCGACAGUUCUUCCUAAUUCCUCUCUAUGAAUCUCUGAAACAUCUACUCCGAGCGCUGGUUUAAGGCUAACAGCUACGUUGCUAGUCUGGAAUGCUUCAAGGGUAGUACCAUGAUGGUCAACCGUCACUGUGAGAUUCACGUGGUUAGUUUCUUGAGUAUUUUUGAGGUUGGCAAGUUGCUCCUCAAGCACUGUGAGACGAGUACCAUAGUUAUGUGUCAUUGUAUAUGCCGGAAUCUGGCUCCGAUACCAAUUGUAAUGUCCCAAAUUAGGGUUUCGGCGAGAUAGAUAGAGUCGGAGAAGAAAGGGGGAGGAAGACAGGGAGAGAAGAGAGGUAGAAUGAGAGGGAGAGAAAAUUGCAAAUAAAAUUUGGAUUGUUGUUCAUUAAUUGAUUGCCACAAAAAACUGCUACAACUAAAUAACGACAAAAUAACAGCAGGAAAGGACAAGUUUCCCGCUUUAAGAAAAAUGGCAAUUCAGUCACUGAACAUAACAAAAGCGAUAAAAGAGCUCAAAUCAUUACACCGAUUAGCCUCGUUAUACGAGUGAAUCCGAGCUUAACCACUUUUAGAUUCUCGAGGGUGCCAAUAUUCAAGUCCUGAUCAACAAUCCCUCUGCAUUUUUCCAGAUUUAACUGCUCCAGAUUCUUAUAACCGGAUAGGUCGGGAACUUUGGUUAGGCCACCCCAGGUGUAGAGAUUCAGAACUGUCAGAUUCUGUG